ensembl:lncRNA
UGGUUUCCUUUACAUCUUCUCCGUAGAAACAUUAAAGUCUAAUAAUUGUAAAUGCACGUGGAUACUUGUGAAUUGGACCGUUUUUUGCAAUCAGGCUCAUUUGCAUAAUGGGGCCAAAUGUGCACCAGUCAAAAGUUUGAAGCUUUCUCAUUCAAACAAAUCCGAUAAGUGUUGACUGGUCCUGUAUGCACAUUACCAAACCCUUGUCUCUAGGGUUCUACCCCAUGACUAAUAACUAUUUUCCCCAAAAGGACAAUCAAAUACUUUCAAAAGACACUUUCAGAUACGAUUCGUUAAACGGUUUGAGCCAACUGGUUCACUCCAUGUGGCGGACAAGGUUUCCUUACCAGUCACACGCAAUCAUGCAGCAGCUUACCAACGCAGCCGCCACCGCUCCAUUUGUCCUGAUGAGGUCUAAAUGAGGGAAACGGCUCACCGCGGAGCCAUUGUGCGGUAUUUGUUUGCUUGUGUGAGGGAUUUUACACCCGCUGGGGAGAACAAAUUGUAUAAUAGCAGCCAGUCAGCAGUCGGUAAACAUGUCAGAAGCCAGACAAACAGAGAUACACGCGUGCCCUGCUUGACACGCAGAGAAAAGGAGCAGUCGGAGUAAAGUGUUAAGGACGACCCAGUGUCAGGCGCUAAUUACCGUCGACGCUUCCCAAAGGAAUCCUCCGCCGUGUGACGGUUGCUGCUCACCAACGUGCAGCUGGUGAGCAGCAACCGACGAGCCGCCGAGGCGUCGGAGCGUCGCUCCGCCUUCUAUUCCUGCUGAGCUCGGUUGCGUCUUGUGAUAUCAUUUCCGCUGUGCAGCUCCCGAGUGUUUGUGCGCCCCGUGGAAUCAAUGAGCACUGGAUGACUUUAGUAUGGAUUAGAUUUAUGUGGCUGGUGAUGUCAUGGGCCGUGUUUCAUCAGCGGGACCAGGACCGUCUCAGUUACAGCAUAAUUAAUACGUCUCGCACGGUUAGUCCUGUAUGAUUUCAAACGCAGUGCACGGAGAUCCUGCAGCACAAGGAAAGGACAUCACGGUGUAACGUUUCAACGGUUAAAGGUGGAGCUGCAGAUGGAGGCCUUUGCCAUAAAGGUGCGUUGUGAAGAAACUAAUCAAAUCGAUAUUAUUUGGCUCUCUGAGGGCUGAGGAAGGUUGCUUGGUUAGUUAUGAGCAGUGAGUUACUCUAUCAGGGGGGGCAGGCCGUUCACUGGCAGGCACCACCCCACCAACUGAGUGCCUUUUACCAUUUUAUUUGCGAGACGUGAGCGAUAGGAAGUCGAUCCAUCGAGGUGGUCGGUUGGGUGGGCAUGGUGGCAUCGCUAAGCCUUCAGGAAGGGUCAAAAGAGAGGGGGGAGGAAACAGAGAGAAAUGAAGGGUUGGGAGGAAGGGGUUUGGAAUACGUCAACGGGAUACCGGAAUGGAGGCGUGUUGAGGCGUGUUGAGGCGUGUUGAGGCGUGUUGAGGCGUGUUGAGGCGUGUGGAGGCAUGUGGAGGCGUGGUCCUGCUCACCUGAAAUUACGCCAAUUAGCUUCAAAACAAGUAGUAAUAUCAGCUUUUCUGUUGGCCGAACAGGAAAAAUAUCGUUGUUGUCAUCAGACAAAUGACGUUAGCUGGAUACAAACCGUGAACCUUCUAUUCUGCAGAGUGAAGCCAAUGUGUCUUAAGUGUCUUAAAACUUCUGUUGACUG